UUUCUAAGAUGAGUCAAACUAGCUCACUAUGAUUUGAUAAUGAAAAUACAUGAAAACCUGAGAAAC